rnacentral:rRNA from 1 species
CCCUACGGGGCGCAGCACGCGGUAAUCAUCUAUAAGAUCGAGAAGAACGUGCUCUAUGUGGCCGACCCCAACAAGCCGGGCGAUACCACGAGGACGGUGACACUGAACCGGAAGACGGGGGAGACGCCGAAAUUCUCGUCCUACUAUUCCGGCGCAAACGCCGCCGUGAUGGCAAAGGAAGCCACCGAAUACAAUGUGUUUGGCUACUACGGUGUGUUCGCGCUGGGCAAUUGGAGCACGAUGGCAGAUUACUGGCAACGGAUGAUAGACGGCGGGGACGUCGGGGCUUCGCUGUUUCCGACGGACGCUGUAGUGGAGGUGGCGCGGAGCAAGGACGGUAAUGGAAACUUUGUAACGGCGGCGCUGACGGACGGCCUGGUGCUGACGGCGGGGGAGC